rnacentral:sRNA from 1 species
AGGUACGACUGUACAUCCCGCUUCCGCUGCAUCGUCCGCACCCGCCGGAACAUCACUCGCAACGUCUUGUUCGCC